rnacentral:rRNA from 1 species
UGGGGAAUUUUGGACAAUGGGCGAAAGCCUGAUCCAGCAAUGCCGCGUGUGUGAAGAAGGCCUUCGGGUUGUAAAGCACUUUUGUCCGGAAAGAAAUCCUUGGCUCUAAUACAGUCGGGGGAUGACGGUACCGGAAGAAUAAGCACCGGCUAACUACGUGCCAGCAGCCGCGGUAAUACGUAGGGUGCAAGCGUUAAUCGGAAUUACUGGGCGUAAAGCGUGCGCAGGCGGUUUGCUAAGACCGAUGUGAAAUCCCCGGGCUCAACCUGGGAACUGCAUUGGUGACUGGCAGGCUAGAGUAUGGCAGAGGGGGGUAGAAUUCCACGUGUAGCAGUGAAAUGCGUAGAGAUGUGGAGGAAUACCGAUGGCGAAGGCAGCCCCCUGGGCCAAUACUGACGCUCAUGCACGAAAGCGUGGGGAGCAAACAGGAUUAGAUACCCUGGUAGUCCACGCCCUAAACGAUGUCAACUAGUUGUUGGGGAUUCAUUUCCUUAGUAACGUAGCUAACGCGUGAAGUUGACCGCCUGGGGAGUACGGUCGCAAGAUUAAAACUUAAAGGAAUUGACGGGGUCAUGCUGUUUCCU